GGCGGGGCGAGAACGGUCUCCGAGUCGCCGCGGAAAGAGGGAGAGCGGUAGGAAGAGAAGGGGGAAGGGGGGACUUGGAAGCUCCCGCGCCGCUCGCCUCGGCUCCGUGCACCCACGCCUCGCUGCUCCGCUCCGUGCCCCCUUCCCGGGCAUGCGCCCUCGCAGUGCUCGUCCACCCAGAGCCCGCGCCGACCCCCGGAGCCUCCCCCAAGCCGGCCGCGCAGGAUGGGCCCCCUCGGCCCCUUGCCGCGGCUGCCGCCGCCGCUGCUGCUGCUAAUGCUGGGAGUCCAGUGCUUUGCCCGGGAGGUGCUGGUCCCCCAGGGGCCCCUGUACCGCGUGGCUGGCACGGCCAUCUCCAUCUCCUGCAAUGUGAGCAGCUACGAGGGCCCUGCCCAGCAGAACUUCGAGUGGUUCUUCUACAGGCCUGAGGCCCCCGAGGCUGCGCUGGGCAUUGUCAGUACCAGGGAUACCGGGUUCUCUUAUGCCGUCUUCGGGCCCCGCGUGGCAGCUGGCGAGGUGCAGGUGCAGCGUCUGCAGGGGGAUGCCGUGGUGCUCAAGAUUGCCCGCCUGCAGGCCCAGGAUGCGGGCAUUUAUGAGUGCUAUACGCCCUCCACUGAUGCCCGUUACCUGGGCAGCUACAGCGGCAAGGUGGAGCUCAGAGUUCUUCCAGAUGCGCUGCAGGUGUCUGCUACCCCCCCGGGGCCCCGAGGCCGCCAGGCCCCGACGUCGCCCCCCCGGCUGACAGUGCACGAGGGACAGGAGCUGGCCCUGGGCUGCGUGGCGCGGACCAGCACGCAGGAACACACACACCUGGCGGUGUCCUUCGGGAGAGCGGUGCCCGAGGCGCCAGUGGGGCGAGCCACUCUGCAGGAAGUGGUGGGGCUCCGGCCGGACUUGGCCGUGGAGGCCGGGGCUCCCUAUGCCGAGCGGCUGGCUGCAGGGGAGCUGCGGCUGAGCAAGGAGGGGGCUGAGCGGUACCGCAUGGUGGUGGGGGGAGCCCAGGCGGAGGACGCGGGCACCUACCACUGCACGGCGGCUGAGUGGAUUCAGGAUCCCGAUGGCAGCUGGGCCCAGAUCGCGGAGAAGAGAGCGGUCCUGGCCCACGUGGACGUGCAGACACUGUCCAGCCAGCUGGCAGUGGCAGUGGGGCCUGGGGAGCGUCGGAUCGGCCCAGGGGAACCCUUGGAACUGCUGUGCAACGUGUCAGGGGCCCUGCCCCCGCCAGGCCGCCACGCCGCCUACUCCGUGGGCUGGGAGAUGGCCCCCGCGGGGGCGCCGGGGCCUGGCCGCCUGGUAGCCCAGCUGGACACAGAGGGUGUGGGCAGCCUGGGCCCUGGCUACGAGGGCCGGCACAUUGCCAUGGAGAAGGUGGCGUCCAGAACCUACCGCCUCCGGCUGGGGGCUGCCAGGCCCGGUGAUGCGGGCACCUACCGCUGCCUUGCCAAGGCCUACGUCCGAGGGUCUGGGGCUCGGCUUCGAGAAGCAGCCAGUGCCCGCUCCCGGCCGCUCCCCGUGCACGUGCGGGAGGAAGGCGUGGUGCUGGAGGCCGUGGCGUGGCUGGCGGGAGGCACCGUGUACCGUGGGGAGACGGCCUCCCUGCUCUGCAACAUCUCAGUGCGGGGCGGCCCCCCAGGGCUGCGGCUGGCCGCCAGCUGGUGGGUGGAGCGGCCCAAGGACGGGGAGCUGAGCUCUGGCCCUGCCCAGCUGGUGGGCGGCGUGGGCCAGGACGGUGUGGCGGAGCUGGGGGUCCGGCCUGGAGGAGGCCCUGUCAGUGUGGAGCUGGUGGGGCCCCAAAGCCAUCGGCUGCGGCUGCACGACUUGGGGCCCGAGGACGAAGGCGUGUACCACUGCGCCCCCAGCGCCUGGGUGCAGCACGCCGACUACAGCUGGUACCAGGCGGGCAGUGCCCGCUCGGGGCCCGUCACGGUGUACCCCUACACGCACGCCCUGGACACCCUGUUUGUGCCCCUGCUGGUGGGUGCUGGGGUCGCCCUGGUCACCGGCGCCACCGUCCUUGGUACCAUCACCUGUUGCUUCAUGAAGAGGCUGCGAAAACGGUGAUCCCUCGCUGCGCAGGUGAGAGAGAAGAACCCCAACCUCGUCUUCUCCCCCCCACCCCCGCCGGGCGUCCUGAGGUCUUGCAGGUGUCGACUGUCUGCCAGCCCAGCUCCAAGACUGCCUCUGGUUGCCUGGCUACCCGCUCCCUCUGCUCCCCUUCCUUUAAUUUAUUUGACCUCCCCCACCCAGGGUGGGGGACAUGGCCCCCACCCCGCGCUCCUUCCUUCCUGACUCCUCCCUCUGGCCUUCUGUUCUUGGUCUCAUGCCCAGCCCAUAGGGAGGCCAUUCCCUGUCCUAGAAUUAGUUUUUCUAAAAUGUGAAUAAACUUGUUUUAUAAAA